CCCUCCUUAAUGCCCAUCACCCAGUGACCCCAUUCCCCCACUUAUCUCUCCUCCAGCAACCCUUUUUGUUUCCUAUAGUUAAGAGUUUCUUAUGGCUUUUCUCCCUCUCUGAUUUCAUCUUGUUUUAUUUUUUCCUCUUUCUCCUAUGAUCCUCUGUUUUGUUUCUUAAGUUCCACAUAUGAAUGAGAUCAUAUGAUAAUUGUCUUUCUCUGAUUGACUUGUUUCGCUUAGCAUAAUACCCUCUGGUUCUAUCCACAUCAUGGCAAUUGGUAAUAUAUCAUUUUCUUUUUUAUGGCUGAGUAAUAUUCUAUUAUUCACAUCUUCUUUAUCCAUUCAUCUGUUGAUGUGCAUCUGGGCUCUUCCAUAGUUUGGCUAUUGUGUACAUUGCUGCCAUAAAUGGUGGUUUAUAAGUAUCCCUGGGAUCAUUGUGUUUGUAUCCUUUGGGUAAAUACCUAGUAGUGGAAUUCUUGGGUCAUAGGCUAGUUCAUUUUUAACUUUUUACAGAACCUCCAUACUGUUUUCUACUGUCUAUACUACUUGCAUUCCCACCAACAACAUAAGAGGGCUCCCCUUUCUCUGCAUUCUUGUCAACAUCUGUUGUUUCCUGACUUGUUAAUUUUAGCCUUUCUGACUAGUAUGAGGUGGUUUCUCAUCGUGAUUUUGAUUUCUAUUGUCCUGAUGCCAAGUGGCAUUGAGCAUUUUUUCAGGUGUUUUUUGACCAUUUAUAUGUUUUUGGAGAAAUAUCUGUUCCUGUGUUCUGCUCAUUUCUUGACUGGAUUAUUUGUUUUUUGGGUGUUGAGUUUGAGAAGUUCUUUAAGAUUCUUGGAUACUAACCCUUUAUCUGAUAAGACAUUUGCAAAUAUCUUCUCCCAUUCUCUAGAUUGUCUUUUGUUUCUGUGGAUUAUUUCCUUUGCUAUGCAAAGCUUUUUAUUUUGAUGAAGUCCCAGUACUUCAUUUUUACUUUUGUUUCCCUUGCCUCUGGAGAAGUGUCUAGCAAGAAGUUGCUGUGGUAGAAGGUUGCUGCCUGUGUUCUCCUCUAGGAUUUUGUUGGAUUCCUGUCUUACAUUUGGGUCUUUCGUCCAUUUUGAGUUUUUGUGUGUGUGUGGUGUAAGAAAAUGGUCCAGCCUUUCUUCAUUUUUAAUUGGAUUGUUUUAUUAUUAUUGAUUUCUUAUUGGAACUCUUUUAAAAACAGGGUUGUUAUUUUUUUCUAUUCUGCAUAAUGCAGCUAUCUUAUUCCAGUAUAGUAUAUGUCCUUUAACAGUAGUUUGUAGAAAAAUUUUUUGCAAAGGAUUUUUUUUCUAUUUUUAAUCAGUCCUUUAUAGCGUAUGGUUUUCUGUUAUGUUUAUGACAGCCAUUUAUUUUUAAUGAUUUAUUUAUUUAUUUAUUUGAGAGAGAGCAGGAGCAGGGGGAGGGGCAGAGGAAAAGGGAGAGAAGCAGACUCCCCACUGAGCCCAGAGCCCCAGGCCGCUGGAUCUGAAGACAAGCCAAAACCAAGAGUCGGAUGCUUAACUUACUGAGCCACCCAGGUGUCCCUUCAGCAGCCUUUCUUACCCCAAGAUUAUAAACUGUUAUUCCAUAUUUUUCUUAUGAAUGAUAUUUAUUUUUUAACUAGUUUUAAAAAAAUAGAAAAAACAAUACGAUAAUUGCUAAUAUACAUUAAGGGUGUUUACUGUGUGGCAGGCAAUUUCCUAGAAUCUUUGCAUCCACUAAUCCAUUUAAUCUUCAAAACUAUCUGAUAAGUUUAGGUUUUUCUGACACUGUGGGUAAGGACAUUGAAGCACAAAAAGAUGAAGAGGUUACUCAGCAGGUAUGUAGUGAGUCGGGAAUCAAGCCUUUGCAGUCACCUGUUCAGCCUUUUUCGUAAAUCAUAAUGAAUUACUCGCCAAUGCAAGCAGGUUGACUUAAGAAUUUUUAUUUGAAUAUCUCUGUUUCCAGCAUUAUUGGAUUGCGUUCUGUGGGGGAAUAUGGCAAACGUGUAAGCGCCUCUUCCUUUCACAUGGAAUGCAGAACUAAGAAAGUUGCGUCCUAACUUGAAAGCAAAGAAAAGCAAAUAAGGUAGAUCAAACAAUCAGAAAACAAAUUGUAUACUUCAGAAAUGAGAAGCUCUUGGUGAUAAAAUUCACAGGGUAUACAGCAAGAAGAUUUUGGUUUUGGAAGUCAUCCUUA
rnacentral:lncRNA from 1 species